UUUUAUUAAAAACAGUAUAAAUACGGUUUCGGGAUCUCUGUUCAGACAUAAUUUGUGCGAUUUUAUUCAUUGGUGAGUACACACGCUUAUUGUAUUGAUAAUAUUACACUUUUUGUGUUUUUAAUUUUAUUCCUAUAUGCAGCCUUCGCUUGGUUUCACGAAAACAAAACCAAAAAUCAAAAAUGGGCGCUGAAAAAGUAGUAACCAUGAACAUCGUUGUCGUCGGACAAGUCCAAUCCGCCAAAGCCCCCAAAACCGUAGCCAAGGCCGCCCCAGCCACCAGUCAAUUGAUGGUGAGCGUACUGUUUUAACGUUCAUAGGUAAUUAUUGCCUUAUUGGUUAUUACCCAUCCACUUGUUUUUCUAUGAAGCGAUACGGUUAUGUUUCAUCAUAAACAAUUUUUUUUUUUUUUAUGAAAUAUAACCAAAAUUUUACAAACUUAAUAAAUCCGUUCAACCUUUAAAUGAUUAAUUUAGGUAGGUACAUAAUAUAAUUUUCUCCCCAGAACACACAAUAUAUACACAUUUUUUUUUUCUAAAUAGUCAUCAAAAUUCAAAACGUUACAGUUUGAACAAAUUCAAUGUUUUUUUUUUUUAUUACAGACUAAUACAUUUUAUAAUGAAUUUUCUUAUUAAUAAUAUUCUAAAACACUAAAUUCAUUUAAUUACCUACCAAACAAAAUUCUUAAGUUUUUAAUAAAAUAUAUUUCAAAGAAAAUUAAUUAUAUUUAUCAAAAUUAUUAUUAUUAAUUUUUUUUAUAUUACAUUCAAGGUGUUCCACGGAAAUAUGACAAACGCAAUAACCAUUCAGUAUUUGUAUGUAUUUGUAAUAAUUACUAAAGGCUUACAAUACCUCCGUUGGUAUCGUAAGCCUACGGACAUAUAGUUCUUAUAUUUUAUAUUUUUUAACAACUAUUUUUUACAAAAGCCAAUAUAGCAAUUUUGUAAAUAUGUUUUAAAAACAAUGUUUAUGUUUCAUAUUAUGUUUACUAAUUUUCUAUUUAUCCUAUAUAAAUAUUUAUAACACCAAAAUUUGUUCCAAAAUAUACUAGAAAUGUUUUUAAAAAUUGAAAAUUUGUAUUAAAAGUUUUAAAAAUAUAUAUAAAACUGAAGAAUCACAUAGUGCAAGGCUCUAGUAAUUAUUACAAGAAAAGGAACAUUUAAAAAUAGUGUAUAGAACAAAAUUGAUUGCAUUUUUCAGAUCUCCAUGGAACAUCUUGUGAAGUACUAUAAUCAUUUAAGAAUAUUGUACUACCUACUGACCUCAUAAUAUGUAUUUAUUUUUUUUUUGUUUCAGUCUUGUUAAAAUCAUGAAGUUCAUACAUUGCAAACUAAAAAUGUUUUAUCCCAAAUAAUUAAGUAAUUGUUAAUAAUAUGAAUUGACACUUCAAAAUAAACUAGUCUUAUCCGUUAUUUUUUUUUUUUUAUUAUUGUUUUUAUUUGAUGGUAUUUUAAAUGUUACUUAAUAGCAAUUCAAUAAAUGCUACGUUUAACAAAUAUAAAUAAGUGUU